rnacentral:sRNA from 1 species
UGUAGAUUUAUAUAAUCAUCGUAUAUAAAUGCCACGUCCUGCAUAAGGACAAUAUUGUCCUGUUUUAAAAGGGACUGAAACUGAUAUUAGCAUAGAAGAAAAAAUAAAACAAAAAGUCAAAGUAGAGCAAGAGUUAAAAAAUUCGCUGCAUUAAAGUAAAAAUUGCAAAAUGGCUUUCAUUGUCAUUAUAAGAGAAGGUAAUGCACUGUAUGCCAAGUUGCAGGAACAAAAAUAUACAAAAUUUGAUGAAAAAAAAAUAUCGAAACUGGAAAAUGAAACUAGGAAACUAAUUACAAAAUAUUUAAUACAUUUUACUGAACUGGACAAAGAUCAGACGUCGGCAACAACUUUAAAUAUAGUCUUUACUAAUAUUUUUCAAGAGCAUCAGAAAAUUAAUCGCAUUGUCUAAAUGCAAAAUGUGAUAGAAGAAUUAAGAAAAUUAAAGAAAAAAUUUUAUGCCAUUUCUGAUUUGGACACUAGUAUGAAGUAUGCAAAGAAAUUACUUGAAGAAGCAAAUAGAUUUAAAGACAGACUCGCAAGAGACAAAUCAAAUGAACGCUUUCCAGAUAUUUUUUACGAGUUACAAGUUUUAAUACAAAGAAUAGAGAACGCUUGUCGGAGUACCAAGGCCCAAGUGGUGCUUGAGUCAGUGUCAGGGGUGGUGACACUUGGUACUGCUGCAGUUUCCGGAGCUAUAGGCAUAGCCAAUGGUGUGCUUCGCGGGGCAGCUGAUACCGCGGCUAGUGCGGCGACCGCUGUAGCAAUCAGUGGUGUAAAAGCUAGUAAGAGUGCUACUAUAGCAGCUAGAUUAAUGGAUGCUUCUGUUAUCACCAAAGUAGUUAGUAAAACUUUAUCGGCUUCUAGGUUUUUGUUUGAGAGACAUAUUCAAUGGAUUGUGGAAGAAACAAAUGAAACUUCACUUUACAUCUGUACAUUGUCAGCAAGAAUAAAUGAAUUUCUUCAGUACAUGAAUAGCAAUGAUAAAAAGUUAUUCACUAAUUCUACAAGUAAACAAGAUUGGACUAAACUACUGAAUGUUCGCCACACAAGUAAAAGUAAACAACUUGAAUAUUUGGCUUCUAUACUUUUUCUUGAAUUUACGAAGGAUGAAUUUGAAUGAUGUAUUUAUUUAUAAAAUAACCCGUAAAAAAAAUAUGCGUGAGAUAAACAUAAUUAAUUAUACAAUUUUUAAUUUCAUUUCUUAAUGACAUUUUAUUUAAAGAAGUAUUUCUAGAGAUCUAUAAAUGUUGCUACCGGUUUGUGCAGUCUGACUGUAAUUAAAAGCGCUUUCAAAAUCAAA